rnacentral:rRNA from 1 species
GACGAACGCUGGCGGCAUGCCUAAUACAUGCAAGUCGAGCGAACAGAUGAAGUGCUUGCACUUCUGACGUUAGCGGCGAACGGGUGAGUAACACGUAAGGAAUCUACCUAUAAGCGGGGGAUAACAUUCGGAAACGGAUGCUAAUACCGCAUAAUAUCUUCUUCCGCAUGGAAGAAGAUUGAAAGACGGCUCUGCUGUCACUUAUUGAUGACCUUGCGGUGCAUUAGUUAGUUGGUGGGGUAACGGCCUACCAAGACGAUGAUGCAUAGCCGACCUGAGAGGGUGAUCGGCCACAUUGGGACUGAGACACGGCCCAAACUCCUACGGGAGGCAGCAGUAGGGAAUCUUCCGCAAUGGGCGAAAGCCUGACGGAGCAAUGCCGCGUGAGUGAAGAAGGCCUUCGGGUCGUAAAACUCUGUUAUAAGAGAAGAACAAAUUGUAGAGUAACUGCUACAGUCUUGACGGUAUCUUAUCAGAAAGCCACGGCUAACUACGUGCCAGCCGCCGCGGUAA